GAGGGGGGACAGCCCGAGGGGGAGGGGGGGACAGGGCACGCGCAGGUGUGACACAACCACACAGGUGUGACACACACACAUAAACACAGGUGUGACACACACACAAACACAGGUGUGACACAUACAUAAACACAGGUGUGACACACACACAAACACAGGUGUGACACACGCCUGCACAUGCACACAGGUGUGACACGCCCACCCAACAGCCUCAGCACCUGUUGCACACGCACAACACACACAACACGUGUUGGACACAACAGCCGCGCGCGGACAAACAACCGCACACAUACGGACACACAACCGCACACGGACACACGGACACAACACCCGCAGCCCCACAACCCCCACACAACCAUUCGGGUACACACGGACACAACGCACAACCGAACAUGGGUGUACAACCACACAGGGACACGUGACACACGUGGGUGUGACACACAACCAAACAUGGCUGUACAACAGUACAGGGACACGUGACACAGGCAGACGUGAGUGUGACACACAACCGAACACGAACGUGACACACAACCGAACACGGGUGUACAAGUGCACAAGGACAUGUGACACAACCAAACACGGGUGUGACGCACAACCAAACACGGGUGCACGACCGCACUCAAAGUACCCCCACACCACCCCCACGCGGGUGUUUCACCCGCAGAGGGACGGCUGUAGAUGGAAGAACAACCCCCACACAGCCCUCAAACUGACGCGCUCACAGCCACACGCCCGCGCACAACCGCGCGGGAACAGCCCCCACACGCCCCCGGCACGGAGGGACAAUGGCACAGGGACACUGACAGGCAACAGGCAGGGACACAACAGCCGCACACAGGGACGGCUGACACGCCCCCACGGGGAGGGGCACGAGCACAGCCGCACAGACAGCACACACACGACCCUCAGACGGGCGCACAACCGCACAACAACGUGACACAGCCGCACAGGGACGUUUGACAGGCAGAGGCACAACCGCCCAUGGACAAACAACCCGCACACAACCGCACAGGGAUGUGACACAACCGCACAGGGAUGUGACACACAACCGGACGUGAACACACAACAGCCACGGGUACAGGCAGGUGCACAGCCGCACACGAACAACCCCCACACAGCCCUCAUAAGGGUGCACAACCGGACACGGACAAACAACCGGACACGGGGCUUGAUACAAACAACCGGACACGGACAAACAACCCCCAAAGAGCCCUGACACAGACACACGACCAGAGAUGGACAAACAACCGGACACGGACAAACAGCCGGGCAUGCACAGCCCCACAUGGACACGACACGCUCGGAGAGACGGACAAACAACCAGACAAACAACCGGACACGCACAGCCCCACAUGGACAUGACACGCUUGGACAGACGGACAAACAACCAGACAAACAACCGGGCACGCACAAACACACGCACACUUACAGCCCCACACAGACACAACACGCUCGGACAGACGGACGGACAAACACCCACACAAACAACUGGACACACACAAACACCCGGACAUGCACAGCCCCACUCAGACACGACACACUCGGACAGACGGACAAACAACCAGACAAACAACCGGACACGCACAGCCCCACAUGGACACGAGACGCUCGGACAGACAGACAGACAAACACCCGGACACGCACAGCCCCACCUGGACACGACACGCUCGGACAGACAGACAAACACCCGCACCCGCACAAACAA